UUUUUUUUUUUUUUUUUUUUUUCUUCUUUUUCUA
rnacentral:ribozyme from 14 species